ensembl:snRNA U6 U6 spliceosomal RNA
GUGCUCACUUUGGCAGCACAUAUACAAAAAUUGUAACACACAGAGAAGAUUUGUGUGGCUCCUGCCCAAGGAUUACAUGCAAAUUAGAGAAACGCUCCACAUAAAA